AGAGUUUGAUCAUGGCUCAGGACGAACGCUGGCGGCGCGCUUAACACAUGCAAGUCGAGCGAGAACCAGGGCUUCGGCCCUGGGGAAAGCGGCGAACGGGUGAGUAACACGUGAGUAAUCCACCCUCGGUACCGGGAUAGCCCGGGGAAACCCGGAUUAAUACCGGAUGGCCCGACAGCCUCUCGAGGCGGUCGGAAAAGAUAGCUUCGGCCUUCGACCGAGGACGAGCUCGCGGCGGAUUAGCUUGUUGGCGGGGUAACGGCCCACCAAGGCGACGAUCCGUAGCUGGUCUGAGAGGACGAUCAGCCACACUGGGACUGAGACACGGCCCAGACUCCUACGGGAGGCAGCAGUGGGGAAUCUUGCGCAAUGGGCGAAAGCCUGACGCAGCGACGCCGCGUGCGGGAAGAAGGCCUUCGGGUUGUAAACCGCUUUCAGUGAGGGACGAAGCCACUCGGGUUAAUAGCCCAGAGGGUGACGGUACCUCCAGAAGAAGCCCCGGCUAACUACGUGCCAGCAGCCGCGGUA
rnacentral:rRNA from 1 species